rnacentral:rRNA from 1 species
AUGAGUCUGUUAUGCUGAAAAUGUCGCGAGAUUGGCAAUAUCUCGACAAUUCAAGAGCUUCGCGAACUCGCACAAAAGCUUGCCUAUAGAGUACUUUGUAUUGUAGAAACCCAAAUUUGUGGUGCUAGAGCUGAAAAUCUAAAGAGUACUCUAGGUUUUGAUAAUUCUUUUGCUGUUGACUCCUCUGGUAGGAGCGGAGGCCUGGCUUUGUUUUGGAAUAAUGAAAUAAAGAUAGAAAAUUUGGGUUACUCACAUUAUCAUAUUGAUGUGAAAUUUAGUGAUUUAGGUGGUGAUCUGUGGAGACUCACCUGCUUCUAUGGGGAGGCACAGACCCACCUUCAUCACAACACGUGGAAUACUAUGAAAAAUCUCUUGACUCUCCACAACAUGCCUUGGGUAUGUAUGGGGCAUUUCAAUGAAGUUUUAAGGCAUGAUGAGCAUGAUGGCAUCGGCAACAGAAGUGUAGACGGAGAGUUUGUGAUACAAUAG